rnacentral:lncRNA from 1 species
GGCUGUCGAGCACAGAAGGCUGCCGAGCUUGAAGGCCGAGCACAGUAGGCCGAGACCNGAAAGCUGUCGAGCUCAGAAGGCUGCCGAGCUCAGAAGGCCGAGCACAGCAGGCCGAGACCAGAAGGCUGCCGAGCUCAGAAGGCCGAGCUGACCUCAGAAGGCCGACCUCGUCGUCUAUAUGCUGCGGCCAUACCCUGCAGCAGCCUCACCGCACCAUGCUUUACUUGCCGGCCACGUCACAACAUAUCAAUCAGGGACCAUACCCUGCUACGGCUGUCAAUGCCUCACCAUUUUCAAGAAUGUACUGCACUGCGCGCCACAAGCAAGCUCUGGCUGCACGCCAUCUCCUCCCAUGAUGGGAACGGGCCAUCCACGGCAACUCAUUACUUCACACGCCCACGUCCAAUCGUGACGGUAACCCAUUAAUUCGCCCAGUCACAUCACAGGUAACCCUACCACUCUCCCUAUAAAAAAGAGGGCUUCUUCCUCCCAAAGGGGGGCUUCGG